GUUCUAAUUUUAUGUAUUAAUUCCGUAAUGUUUUAGAAACCAAACUUCUGUUUUACCGUGGGUAUUGUGAGUUAAAAUGACUGUCAAGUUUGUCGUGUUAAGUGAAAUAUUUCAUUUUCAUCUAUGUUCAUGAGGUGCUUAUUAUUUUAUGGAGUUAUAUUCCUGAUAAAAAAUCUUAAGUACUGUUUUAAAAUGGAGCUCACUGCUCUUUGUUACUAGGGGAAUUCCCGGGCUUUGGAGUUUCAGAGCUGCUGCGGAGUAGAGACAUGCUAGUCUCUGGCUACCUUCUGCAUAGCGCUUGACUUCUUUAUGCCUGAUAUAUGAUGUUUUCCUGCUAGUGCAUUAUUGUGGCCGAUAUUGGGGAAAGGAACACUGGGAAGGUGCUCCUGUGCCUGCGGAGGAAGAGAGAGAGGCCGCGGAGUUUCUGUGUCUGUGAACAACGGCUGCCGUCGUCAUUCUGGGUCGCCAUCCCAGCCAGGACAACAUCUUUCAUCGAUUCGUUUCGAAAAGUGUAUGACGAAGUGUUGAGACGAAGUUGGAUGUGUUUCAGUCCAGUAACUUGUAAUAAACAUAACUGGUUGAUAGUAAACUGCUAUCUGAA